rnacentral:tRNA from 1 species
CCGUGCGUAGCUCAGUUGGUAGAGCGAUUGUCUUAUACACAGUUGGUCCCAGGUUCGAGUCCUGGCGCACGGA